GACAGCAGCCGCCGCGGUAAUACAGAGGGUGCGAGCGUUAAUCGGAUUUACUGGGCGUAAAGCGUGCGUAGGCGGCUUCUUAAGUCGGAUGUGAAAUCCCUGAGCUUAACUUAGGAAUUGCAUUCGAUACUGGGAAGCUAGAGUAUGGGAGAGGAUGGUAGAAUUCCAGGUGUAGCGGUGAAAUGCGUAGAGAUCUGGAGGAAUACCGAUGGCGAAGGCAGCCAUCUGGCCUAAUACUGACGCUGAGGUACGAAAGCAUGGGGAGCAAACAGGAUUAGAUACCCCUGUAGUCCCUGUCUCUUAUAC
rnacentral:rRNA from 1 species